UCUCCCUGCAAUUUCCGCAAAUGUAGUUAGUUUCUGCUUUAAGCUUGUCAGCUAAGACGUCAUACAUAUGCUAUAUUGCCAGUAUCGUUCAAAGUGAUUGAAAAUUGCCACUUUCAGUGGUCUAACACACAGGAUAUGUGGCCCUGAACUUGAUUGCAAUGGCAUAAAGUUUACUGGAAGAAAUGCAGGACAACCUUCUAGGGAAAUGCCUGCAACUGGAAAGUGUCUGGAGCUUGAGUUAAAGAACAUUCUCGCAGUUUUAUGUCGCUUAUCUUUUUGGAGUUUGAUGGGUUCGAGGAGGAAGAGAUCCAUGGGGGCUUUAUUGAAGGCCAAGCUUGGAAACAAAGUCAGGAUAGGUGUACCAUAUUAUUUAACAGAGGUGAUGAACAAGGAAAAACUAAGGUGAACAAGCAAGGCGAGGUAUUCUUGCCAUGCAAGUGCUGAUAUGUAUCUGUAAAGCUGGUGGAUGAAGGUAGGCAUCCCUCUUUUGCAUUGUGCCUGGGUUUCAGAUGCUUCUUUAUGCUGUUGUCUUUUGCCUUGGCUGAAAAGAUAGCUUUAAGACUGAAGAAAGAUGCCCCUUUUACCUUGUCUCAUCUGUCGUCUUUUUGUGCUCCCUUGUUACAAACCUGCCUCAAAAACAGAUAAAAGUAUGUUGUCUGUAGAUUAUAAAAAGAAGCAGCAGGCAUUUUAAUUGUUUAGUGAAAGAAUUUUAUCUGUAAAGAGGCAUUUUUGGGAUUAUGAUUGAUAGGAGACAAAUGAAGUACUGAGAAAAUAUUAAAAUUAAUCAAAUGUGACUCUGGAAGCUGAAGCAAUGUUGAUUUUCAGGUACUU